GAUGAUGAACGUAGCGAAAUGCGAUAAGUAGUGUGAAUUGCAGAAUUCAGUGAAUCAUCGAAUCUUUGAACGCACAUUGCGCCCCAUGGUAUUCCGUGGGGCAUGCCUGUUCGAGCGUCAUUUACCCCCUCAAGCUCCGCUUGGUGUUGGGCGUCUGUCCCGCUUCGCGCGCGGACUCGCCCCAAAGGUAUUGGCAGCGGUCGUGCCAGCUUCUCGCGCAGCACAUUGCGCUUCUCGAGGCACCGGUGGGCCCGCGUCCAUCAAGCUCACCCCCCCAGUUUGACCUCGGAUCAGGUAGGGAUACCCGCUGAACUUAAGCAUAUCAAUAAGCGGAGGA
rnacentral:misc_RNA from 1 species